rnacentral:ncRNA from 1 species
CAAAGGUUUGGUCCGGCCCUUUAAGUUAAUUCUAGGUAAGUUUACCCAUGCAAAUAUCCAUGACCCUGGGCCUAAUUCCUAAAGGUUCCUUCCAAAAUCCAAGGAAAUAGUAUCAAGCACAUAAAUCUAUAGCUCAUAACACUUAGCCAAGCCACGCCCCCACGGGAUUCAGCAGUGAUCAAAAUUUAGCAAUAAACGAAAGUUCGACUAAGCUAUACCUUAAAGAGUUGGUAAAUUUCGUGCCAGCCACCGCGGUCAUACGAUUAACUCAAAUUAACUACAUAUCGGCGUAAAACGUGUCAUUCAACUACUUUAAUAGAAUUAAAACCCAACAAAUGCGUAGAAGUUCAUCGUUCGGACCUAAACUCACCAACGAAGGUAAUUCUAAUAAAUCAACACACGAUAGCUAAGAUCCAAACUGGGAUUAGAUACCCCACUAUGCUUAGCCCUAAACAUAAAUAAUUACUUAACAAAAUUAUUUGCCAGAGAACUACUAGCCAAUGCUUAAAACUCAAAGGACUUGGCGGUGCUUUAUAUCCAUCUAGAGGAGCCUGUUCUAUAAUCGAUAACCCCCGUUCCACCUUACCAACUCUUGCCUAAUCAGCCUAUAUACCGCCAUCUUAAGUAAACCCUAAAAAGGAAUGAAAGUAAGCGAAAAUAUAAACAUAAAGACGUUAGGUCAAGGUGUAGCCAAUGAGUUGGAAAGCAAUGGGCUACAUUUUCUUAAAAAGAACAUUACGAUAUCUUUUAUGAAACCUAAAGGACCAAGGAGGAUUUAGUAGUAAAUUAAGAAUAGAGAGCUUAAUUGAAUAAGGCCAUUAAGCACGUACACACCGUCCGUCAACCCUCUUCAAAUAAUAAUAACAGACAUAAAUACAUAAUUUUAUUCUCUUCCAAUCCACAUUUAUAAGAAGGAGGUAAGUCGUAACAAGGUAAGCAUACUGGAAAGUGUGCUUGAACGAAC